UACGUAGGGUGCGAGCGUUGUCCGGAAUUAUUGGGCGUAAAGAGCUUGUAGGCGGUUUGUCGCGUCUGCCGUGAAAAUCCGGGGCUCAACCCCGGACUUGCGGUGGGUACGGGCAGACUAGAGUGUGGUAGGGGGAGACUGGAAUUCCUGGUGUAGCGGUGAAAUGCGCAGAUAUCAGGAGGAACACCGAUGGCGAAGGCAGGUCUCUGGGCCACUACUGACGCUGAGAAGCGAAAAGCGUGGGGAGCGAACAGG
rnacentral:rRNA from 1 species